UACGGGGGGGGCAAGCGUUGUUCGGAAUUACUGGGCGUAAAGCGCCCGUAGGCGGCCUGACAAGUUGGACGUGAAAGCUCCUGGCUUAACUGGGAGAGGCCGUUCAAAACUGUCAAGCUAGAGUCUGGAAGAGGAGAGCGGAAUUCCCGGUGUAGUGGUGGAAUGCGUAGAGAUCGGGAGGAACACCAGUGGCGAAAGCGGCUCUCUGGUCCAAAACUGACGCUGAGGGGCGAAAGCGUGGGGAGCGAACGGG
rnacentral:rRNA from 1 species